GCUGAGGCUGGCUUUGAACUUGGAAUCCUCCUGCCUGAGACUCAGUUACAGAACUUCUUUUGACAAUUUGGUGUCAGGAGUUGCUGGCAAAGGUUUUUCAGCAAGCCAAAAGCUUCCACCGUCUGCUGACUGCCAGUUUCUGAAGACUUUCAUUGAUUUCCAGCCCUAUGUGAUGUGCCUCAGCCUGUUUUUCUUUAUUGUAUUCUAUUUGGUGUUCA